CCUACGGGAGGCAGCAGUGGGGAAUAUUGGACAAUGGGGGGAACCCUGAUCCAGCGACGCCGCGUGAGUGAAGAAGUAUUUCGGUAUGUAAAGCUCUAUCAGCAGGGAAGAAAGACAUGACGGUACCUGACUACUAAGCCCCGGCUAACUACGUGCCAGCAGCCGCGGUAAUACGUAGGGGGCAAGCGUUAUCCGGAUUUACUGGGUGUAAAGGGAGCGUAGACGGCGAUGCAAGUCUGAAGUGAAAGGCGGGGGCCCAACCCCCGGACUGCUUUGGAAACUGUAUGGCUGGAGUGCAGGAGAGGUAAGUGGAAUUCCUAGUGUAGCGGUGAAAUGCGUAGAUAUUAGGAGGAACACCAGUGGCGAAGGCGGCUUACUGGACUGUAACUGACGUUGAGGCUCGAAAGCGUGGGGAGCAAACAGGAUUAGAUACCCUUGUAGUC
rnacentral:rRNA from 1 species